rnacentral:misc_RNA from 1 species
GAUGAAGAACGUAGCGAAAUGCGAUACGUAAUGUGAAUUGCAGAAUUCAGUGAAUCAUCGAAUCUUUGAACGCACAUUGCGCCUGCCAGCACUCUGGCAGGCAUGCCUGUUCGAGCGUCGUUUCAACCAUCAAGCCCUAGGCUUGCGUUGGAGCCCUGCGGCUGCCGCAGGCCCCUAAAAGCAGUGGCGGGCUCGCUAUCACACCGAGUGCAGUAGAUUACUCUUCGCUCAGGGCGUGUGGCGGGUUCCAGCCGUGAAACCCCCUACUUCUCAAGGUUGACCUCGGAUCAGGUAGGAAUACCCGCUGAACUUAAGCAUAUCAAUAAGCGGAGGA